CUACGGGACGCAGCAGUGGGGAAUAUUGCACAAUGGGCGCAAGCCUGAUGCAGCCAUGCCGCGUGUAUGAAGAAGGCCUUCGGGUUGUAAAGUACUUUCAGCGGGGAGGAAGGGAGUAAAGUUAAUACCUUUGCUCAUUGACGUUACCCGCAGAAGAAGCACCGGCGAACUCCGUGCCAGCAGCCGCGGUAAUACGGAGGGUGCAAGCGUUAAUCGGAAUUACUGGGCGUAAAGCGCACGCAGGCGGUUUGUUAAGUCGGAGGUGAAAUCCCCGGGCUCAACCUGGGAACUGCAUCUGAUACUGGCAAGCUUGAGUCUCGUAGAGGGGGGUAGAAUUCCAGGUGUAGCGGUGAAAUGCGUAGAGAUCUGGAGGAAUACCGGUGGCGAAGGCGGCCCCCUGGACGAAGACUGACGCUCAGGUGCGAAAGCGUGGGGAGCAAACAGGAUUAGAUACCCGCGUAGUC
rnacentral:rRNA from 1 species